AGCACGGUGUUGCGCGUUGCUGACCUGCGCUCUCCUUGCAGAGCACCCCGAGGCUCUCUCCUGUUUGCUGCUGCAGCUGCGCCGAGAGAAGCCCAGCGAGGAGAUGGUGAAGAUGGUGCUGAGCCGCCCGUGCCACCCCGACGAUCAGUUCACCACCAGCAUCCUGCGGCACUGGGGGCUGAAGCACGACGACCUGCUGGCCGAACACAUCAAGGCGCUGCUCA